GAUGAACGCUGGCGGCGUGCCUAAUACAUGCAAGUCGAGCGAACGGACGAGAAGCUUGCUUCUCUGAUGUUAGCGGCGGACGGGUGAGUAACACGUGGAUAACCUACCUAUAAGACUGGGAUAACUUCGGGAAACCGGAGCUAAUACCGGAUAAUAUUUUGAACCGCAUGGUUCAAAAGAGAAAGGCGGUCUUGCUGUCACUUAUAGAUGGAUCCGCGUUGCAUUAGCUAGUUGGUAAGGUAACGGCUUACCAAGGCAACGAUGCAUAGCCGACCUGAGAGGGUGAUCGGCCACACUGGAACUGAGACACGGUCCAGACUCCUACGGGAGGCAGCAGUAGGGAAUCUUCCGCAAUGGGCGAAAGCCUGACGGAGCAACGCCGCGUGAGUGAUGAAGGUCUUCGGGUCGUAAAACUCUGUUAUUAGGGAAGAACAUAUGUGUAAGUAACUGUGCACAUCUUGACGGUACCUAAUCAGAAAGCCACGGCUAACUACGUG
rnacentral:rRNA from 1 species